ACGCUAGCUACAGGCUUAACACAUGCAAGUCGAGGGGCAGCAUCAUCAAAGCUUGCUUUGAUGGAUGGCGACCGGCGCACGGGUGAGUAACACGUAUCCAACCUGCCGACAACACUGGGAUAGCCUUUCGAAAGAAAGAUUAAUACCGGAUGGCAUAGUUUUCCCGCAUGGGAUAAUUAUUAAAGAAUUUCGGUUGUCGAUGGGGAUGCGUUCCAUUAGGCAGUUGGCGGGGUAACGGCCCACCAAACCGACGAUGGAUAGGGGUUCUGAGAGGAAGGUCCCCCACAUUGGAACUGAGACACGGUCCAAACUCCUACGGGAGGCAGCAGUGAGGAAUAUUGGUCAAUGGACGAGAGUCUGAACCAGCCAAGUAGCGUGAAGGAUGACUGCCCUAUGGGUUGUAAACUUCUUUUAUACGGGAAUAAAGUUAGCCACGUGUGGCUUUUUGUAUGUACCGUAUGAAUAAGGAUCGGCUAACUCCGUGCCAGCAGCCGCGGUAAUACGGAGGAUCCGAGCGUUAUCCGGAUUUAUUGGGUUUAAAGGGAGCGUAGGCGGGUUGUUAAGUCAGUUGUGAAAGUUUGCGGCUCAACCGUAAAAUUGCAGUUGAUACUGGCGACCUUGAGUGCAACAGAGGUAGGCGGAAUUCGUGGUGUAGCGGUGAAAUGCUUAGAUAUCACGAAGAACUCCGAUUGCGAAGGCAGCUUACUGGAUUGUAACUGACGCUGAUGCUCGAAAGUGUGGGUAUCAAACAGGAUUAGAUACCCUGGUAGUCCACACAGUAAACGAUGAAUACUCGCUGUUGGCGAUAUACAGUCAGCGGCCAAGCGAAAGCAUUAAGUAUUCCACCUGGGGAGUACGCCGGCAACGGUGAAACUCAAAGGAAUUGACGGGGGCCCGCACAAGCGGAGGAACAUGUGGUUUAAUUCGAUGAUACGCGAGGAACCUUACCCGGGCUUAAAUUGCAACUGACUGAACCGGAAACGGUUCUUUCUUCGGACAGUUGUGAAGGUGCUGCAUGGUUGUCGUCAGCUCGUGCCGUGAGGUGUCGGCUUAAGUGCCAUAACGAGCGCAACCCUUAUCGAUAGUUACUAGCAGGUCAUGCUGAGGACUCUAUUGAGACUGCCGUCGUAAGAUGUGAGGAAGGUGGGGAUGACGUCAAAUCAGCACGGCCCUUACGUCCGGGGCUACACACGUGUUACAAUGGGGGGUACAGAAGGCAGCUACACGGCGACGUGGUGCUAAUCCCGAAAGCCUCUCUCAGUUCGGAUUGGAGUCUGCAACCCGACUCCAUGAAGCUGGAUUCGCUAGUAAUCGCGCAUCAGCCACGGCGCGGUGAAUACGUUCCCGGGCCUUGUACACACCGCCCGUCAAGCCAUGAAAGCCGGGGGUGCCUGAAGUACGUAACCGCAAGGAGCGUCCUAGGGUAAAACUGGUGAUUGGG
rnacentral:rRNA from 1 species